rnacentral:rRNA from 1 species
UAGGGAAUCUUCGGCAAUGGACGAAAGUCUGACCGAGCAACGCCGCGUGAGUGAAGAAGGUUUUCGGAUCGUAAAACUCUGUUGUUAGAGAAGAACAAGGACGUUAGUAACUGAACGUCCCCUGACGGUAUCUAACCAGAAAGCCACGGCUAAGUACGUGCCAGCAGCCGCGGUAAUACGUAGGUGGCAAGCGUUGUCCGGAUUUAUUGGGCGUAAAGCGAGCGCAGGCGGUUUCUUAAGUCUGAUGUGAAAGCCCCCGGCUCAACCGGGGAGGGUCAUUGGAAACUGGGAGACUUGAGUGCAGAAGAGGAGAGUGGAAUUCCAUGUGUAGCGGUGAAAUGCGUAGAUAUAUGGAGGAACACCAGUGGCGAAGGCGGCUCUCUGGUCUGUAACUGACGCUGAGGCUCGAAAGCGUGGGGAGCAAACAGG